rnacentral:rRNA from 1 species
UACGGGGGGGGCAAGCGUUGUUCGGAAUUACUGGGCGUAAAGGGCUCGUAGGCGGCCAACUAAGUCAGACGUGAAAUCCCUCGGCUUAACCGGGGAACUGCAUCUGAUACUGGAUGGCUUGAGAUUGGGAGAGGGAUGCGGAAUUCCAGGUGUAGCGGUGAAAUGCGUAGAUAUCUGGAGGAACACCGGUGGCGAAGGCGGCAUCCUGGACCAACACGGACGCUGAGGAGCGAAAGCCAGGGGAGCAAACGGG